GGUUAAGCGACCAAGCGUACACGGUGGAUGCCCUGGCAGUCAGAGGCGAUGAAGGACGUGCUAAUCUGCGAAAAGCGCCGGUAAGGUGAUAUGAACCGUUAUAACCGGCGAUGUCCGAAUGGGGAAACCCAGUGUGACUCGUCACACUAUCAUUAACUGAAUCCAUAGGUUAAUGAGGCGAACCGGGGGAACUGAAACAUCUAAGUACCCCGAGGAAAAGAAAUCAACCGAGAUUCCCCCAGUAGCGGCGAGCGAACGGGGAGGAGCCCAGAGCCUGAAUCAGCAUGUGUGUUAGUGGAAGCGUCUGGAAAGGCGCGCGAUACAGGGUGACAGCCCCGUACACAAAAGCGCAUGUGCUGUGAGCUCGAUGAGUAGGGCGGGACACGUGGUAUCCUGUCUGAAUAUGGGGGGACCAUCCUCCAAGGCUAAAUACUCCUGACUGACCGAUAGUGAACCAGUACCGUGAGGGAAAGGCGAAAAGAACCCCGGCGAGGGGAGUGAAAAAGAACCUGAAACCGUGUACGUACAAGCAGUGGGAGCACAGGUUUACCUGUGUGACUGCGUACCUUUUGUAUAAUGGGUCAGCGACUUAUAUUCUGUAGCAAGGUUAACCGAAUAGGGGAGCCGGAGGGAAACCGAGUCUUAAUUGGGCGUUAAGUUGCAGGGUAUAGACCCGAAACCCGGUGAUCUAGCCAUGGGCAGGUUGAAGGUUGGGUAACACUAACUGGAGGACCGAACCGACUAAUGUUGAAAAAUUAGCGGAUGACCUGUGGCUGGGGGUGAAAGGCCAAUCAAACCGGGAGAUAGCUGGUUCUCCCCGAAAGCUAUUUAGGUAGCGCCUCGUGAAUUCAUCUCCGGGGGUAGAGCACUGUUUCGGCCAGGGGGCCAUCCCGGCUUACCAACCCGAUGCAAACUGCGAAUACCGGAGAAUGUUAUCACGGGAGACACACGGCGGGUGCUAACGUCCGUCGUGAAGAGGGAAACAACCCAGACCGCCAGCUAAGGUCCCAAAGUCAUGGUUAAGUGGGAAACGAUGUGGGAAGGCCCAGACAGCCAGGAUGUUGGCUUAGAAGCAGCCAUCAUUUAAAGAAAGCGUAAUAGCUCACUGGUCGAGUCGGCCUGCGCGGAAGAUGUAACGGGGCUAAACCAUGCACCGAAGCUGCGGCAGCGAACGUAUCACCCAAGACAACUUUGCACAGUUGACGAUUGACGGAGCGGAGCGACGUCAAAGCGUUUUACAACGUUGAGUUGGCUUAGGGAUACGUUCGUUGGGUAGGGGAGCGUUCUGUAAGCCUGCGAAGGUGUGCUGUGAGGCAUGCUGGAGGUAUCAGAAGUGCGAAUGCUGACAUAAGUAACGAUAAAGCGGGUGAAAAGCCCGCUCGCCGGAAGACCAAGGGUUCCUGUCCAACGUUAAUCGGGGCAGGGUGAGUCGACCCCUAAGGCGAGGCCGAAAGGCGUAGUCGAUGGGAAACGGGUUAAUAUUCCCGUACUUGGUGUUACUGCGAAGGGGGGACGGAGAAGGCUAUGUUGGCCGGGCGACGGUUGUCCCGGUUUAAGCGUGUAGGUGUGUGUUCCAGGUAAAUCCGGUUCACUUUAACACUGAGGCGUGAUGACGAGGCACUACGGUGCUGAAGCAACAAAUGCCCUGCUUCCAGGAAAAGCCUCUAAGCAUCAGGUAACACGAAAUCGUACCCCAAACCGACACAGGUGGUCAGGUAGAGAAUACCAAGGCGCUUGAGAGAACCCGGGUGAAGGAACUAGGCAAAAUGGUGCCGUAACUUCGGGAGAAGGCACGCUGACACGUAGGUGAAGUGAUUUACUCAUGGAGCUGAAGUCAGUCGAAGAUACCAGCUGGCUGCAACUGUUUAUUAAAAACACAGCACUGUGCAAACACGAAAGUGGACGUAUACGGUGUGACGCCUGCCCGGUGCCGGAAGGUUAAUUGAUGGGGUCAGCGCAAGCGAAGCUCCUGAUCGAAGCCCCGGUAAACGGCGGCCGUAACUAUAACGGUCCUAAGGUAGCGAAAUUCCUUGUCGGGUAAGUUCCGACCUGCACGAAUGGCGUAAUGAUGGCCAGGCUGUCUCCACCCGGGACUCAGUGAAAUUGAACUCGCUGUGAAGAUGCAGUGUACCCGCGGCAAGACGGAAAGACCCCGUGAACCUUUACUAUAGCUUGACACUGAACAUUGAGCCUUGAUGUGCAGGAUAGGUGGGAGGCUUUGAAGUGUGGACGCCAGUCUGCAUGGAGCCAACCUUGAAAUACCACCCUUUAAUGUUUGAUGUUCUAACGUGGACCCGUGAUCCGGGUUGCGGACAGUGUCUGGUGGGUAGUUUGACUGGGGCGGUCUCCUCCUAAAGCGUAACGGAGGAGCACGAAGGUUGGCUAAUCCUGGUCGGACAUCAGGAGGUUAGUGCAAUGGCAUAAGCCAGCUUGACUGCGAGCGUGACGGCGCGAGCAGGUGCGAAAGCAGGUCAUAGUGAUCCGGUGGUUCUGAAUGGAAGGGCCAUCGCUCAACGGAUAAAAGGUACUCCGGGGAUAACAGGCUGAUACCGCCCAAGAGUUCAUAUCGACGGCGGUGUUUGGCACCUCGAUGUCGGCUCAUCACAUCCUGGGGCUGAAGUAGGUCCCAAGGGUAUGGCUGUUCGCCAUUUAAAGUGGUACGCGAGCUGGGUUUAGAACGUCGUGAGACAGUUCGGUCCCUAUCUGCCGUGGGCGCUGGAGAACUGAGGGGGGCUGCUCCUAGUACGAGAGGACCGGAGUGGACGCAUCACUGGUGUUCGGGUUGUCAUGCCAAUGGCACUGCCCGGUAGCUAAAUGCGGAAGAGAUAAGUGCUGAAAGCAUCUAAGCACGAAACUUGCCCCGAGAUGAGUUCUCCCUGAGACUACAAGUCUCCUGAAGGAACGUUGAAGACGACGACGUUGAUAGGCCGGGUGUGUAAGCGCAGCGAUGCGUUGAGCUAACCGGUACUAAUGAACCGUGAGGCUUAACCUU
rnacentral:rRNA from 1 species